UACAGAGGUGGCAAGCGUUGUUCGGAAUUACUGGGCGUAAAGGGCGCGUAGGCGGCCCACUAAGUCAGACGUGAAAUCCCCCGGCUUAACCUGGGAACUGCGUCUGAUACUGGAGGGCUUGAGUAUGGGAGAGGGAUGUAGAAUUCCAGGUGUAGCGGUGAAAUGCGUAGAUAUCUGGAGGAAUACCGAUGGCGAAGGCAGCCCCCUGGGAUAACACUGACGCUCAUGCACGAAAGCGUGGGGAGCCAAACAGG
rnacentral:rRNA from 1 species